rnacentral:rRNA from 1 species
GUGAGACAGGUGCUGCAUGGCUGUCGUCAGCUCGUGUUGUGAAAUGUUGGGUUAAGUCCCGCAACGAGCGCAACCCUUAUCCUUUGUUGCCAGCGGUUCGGCCGGGAACUCAAAGGAGACUGCCAGUGAUAAACUGGAGGAAGGUGGGGAUGACGUCAAGUCAUCAUGGCCCUUACGACCAGGGCUACACACGUGCUACAAUGGCGCAUACAAAGAGAAGCGACCUCGCGAGAGCAAGCGGACCUCAUAAAGUGCGUCGUAGUCCGGAUUGGAGUCUGCAACUCGACUCCAUGAAGUCGGAAUCGCUAGUAAUCGUGGAUCAGAAUGCCACGGUGAAUACGUUCCCGGGCCUUGUACACACCGCCCGUCACACCAUGGGAGUGGGUUGCAAAAGAAGUAGGUAGCUUAACCUUCGGGAGGGCGCUUACCACUUUGUGAUUCAUGACUGGGGUGAAGUCGUAACAAGGUAACCGUAGGGGAACCUGCGGUUGGAUCACCUCCUUACCUUAAAGAAG